CCUACGGGUGGCAGCAGUGAGGAAUAUUGGUCAAUGGGCGCGAGCCUGAACCAGCCAAGUAGCGUGAAGGAUGACUGCCCUACGGGUUGUAAACUUCUUUUAUAAAGGAAUAAAGUGAGGCACGUGUGCCGUUUUGUAUGUACUUUAUGACUAAGGAUCGGCUAACUCCGUGCCAGCAGCCGCGGUAAUACGGAGGAUCCGAGCGUUAUCCGGAUUUAUUGGGUUUAAAGGGAGCGUAGAUGGGUUGUUAAGUCAGUUGUGAAAGUUUGCGGCUCAACCGUAAAAUUGCAAUUGAUACUGGCAGUCGUGAGUACAGUUGAGGGAGGCGGAAUGCGUGGUGUAGCGGUGAAAUGCUUAGAUAUCACGAAGAACUCCGAUUGCGAAGGCAGCUUACGAAACUGCCACUGACAUUGAUGCUCGAAAGUGUGGGUAUCAAACAGGAGUAGAUACCCUAGUAGUC
rnacentral:rRNA from 1 species